CCUGCUGAAGCAGAGAGAUCUGGUCACCAAGCACAAGGUCUUGGCAGAAAAGCUGCAGCAUUACUUCACUGUCUCCCAGAUGAGCCCCAAACCUAACAGGGAGAGUGUUAGAUGGAAGACAGUGUGCCCUCCUGCCUCUUCAUUUUCCUUCAGGAUGGCACCUUUAGAGCACCACUUAAGAGAACUCCACUCUAGCAUCAACACCUCCUCAACAAAAGACAUCUUGUAGCUCUGAACUAACCAGUGAGGAAAAUCCCAACCUACCAGCAACCUACUAAAUAAUGUUGAUUCAUUAUUCCAGGAGAAAAUAAAUCAUCAGAAAGAAGCUUGAGCUACAGAGGACCUGCCAAGACUACUCAGAACUCAGACAUCUAUUAACAAGUGGCCCUCAAACGGGACACAGCAGCAUGAGGAGGGUAUGUUGGUGAGCCAGAGUUACUCUGUCAGUUUACUCUCCAUGUCUUUAGUAAGCUGUCUGAGUCCUCCACAUGUGGUGAGAAAUCCGACAAGAAAGCCUGCAUGGCUGUCAUGCUGUUAUCUAUACAUACCACAUGGAGAAGAAUAGGAUUCCCUCCCCAGGGCAAUGCUGAAGCCAACUCCAUGUCACGUGAAAGUGUUGCUGAAGAUGAUGCACUGCAGGUGCUACAGCACUCCUUCACACCUAUGUUAGUUAGUCAUCGGAUCUUCCAUCAAGAAAAUGACUAGGGAUUCUCCAGUGUCACAGCCUGGACUGGCAGGACUGGUCCUGAGAAAGAACUUAUAGAGGAGGUCUGAGUCAUCUUUGGUGCUUUGGAAAGCCAAAUGUACUCCAUUGAUUCGUUGGGUCUAGAGUAGAAGAAUAUUUUUAGCUUAAGUU